GGCCCAUUAGUGUAGUGGUAAGCACAGUGCACUCUGAAUGCGCAGACCCGGGUUCGAGUCCCGGAUGAGCCA
rnacentral:tRNA from 1 species